rnacentral:rRNA from 1 species
UACGUAGGGACCGAGCGUUGUCCGGAAUCAUUGGGCGUAAAGAGCGUGUAGGCGGCCACUUAAGUCCUGCGUGAAAUCUUGCGGCUCAACCGCAAGCGGUCGUGGGAAACUGGGUGGCUAGAGUGCGGGAGAGGAGAGUGGAAUUCCUGGUGUAGCGGUGAAAUGCGUAGAGAUGUGGAGGAACACCGAUGGCGAAGGCAGCCCCCUGGGUCAAGAUUGACGCUCAUGCACGAAA